UUUUGGGUCCUUCCUCCAUAAAAUCUGCUCAUUGACUCUUCUUUCAGUUAGUUGUCACAUCCAAGUAGGUUCGCAUCACUUCCGCUUUCGAUUGGCAUUUCGUUGGGAAAUGAAGCGGACAAUCUACUCUCAGUAGCACUGAUCACUGUUGGUGAGGAUUUGACAACUAUUGUCUUCCAUUAUCUUCGAAGGGUCUUUGAACUUGUGCAGAGCUCCUCUGCUGGAUAGAUAAGAGAAUUGGGGUACUCGGUUUCGCCCAUUCUCUUAAGAGUUGAGAAGGCAAAGGUUACUUGACUUCGCCCGCCUCCUCGAGGUUGUACUUCAUGCAUCGAGCUGGUUACUAGCCUUCGCCUGCUCUUUGCUCACACUUCUGAAGCACUUGAAGUGUUUGCACUCCUUGCGUUGAGUUAGCUACUGUGAUUCACCUUCUCAAUGCCAUCGAACUUCUGGAAUGCGAGAAGUUUUCAUCCCAACUUGGAGUAAUUCUCUGAUAGAUGAGGUCGCCUCUGGGAUUGUACCGUCUUCUCCAUCAACCCUGCCGCCUACUCCACUGAGUAGCAAAGGUACAGCACCGCGUACUGCUUGCUUCGUUCUUUGGUCGUGCACUCUUGCAUGACCCGAAGUCCUUCACUUACGGCUAUCUUGAUGAGAAACUUGUUGACACUGGUUUUACGAAGUUUCUUGGCCUCUGCCCUUCAGCCUUGUCUCGAUACUUGGAGAUUGCCUCUGCAUGCUCCACCUCCUCGGCCCCUUUCACGACCAAGCGCUCUCCCUCCAUGAGAGCAAGGGAUCAAUGACUUUCACGGAAGUCCCGCCUCUGCGGUACCAUGGCGCUACCAUGCCCAUGGCCCUACUAUCAGUCGCCUCGCCUCUGCAUCCCUUUUCUCCACGAUCAGUAGAUAUGUCUCCGUGGCACUCCUCUGAGUCCACCUCCAUUCUAACUGAUGCUUGAUUUUAGGUAGCUAAGUCCCUCUGGACUCAUCGUCGCUUCCUCGCCCCUUUCGACCCCCUGCUUCAACACCUUUGUGUUUUGCAAGCAGCUCCCUUUGGUCGAUGGAAAGACAGACUACAACUCCCAUGCAUGGCCUCUGCCAUCGCAUUAUAAGGUUUGCACCGAUUCUGUUCUCCUUAGCUUCCUUGGUAGCAACGUUCGCUUACUCGACCUUGUCCUUUGACUUAUCGGGCUCCCUUAAGCGAAUAUGAGCUCUGGAGCAGUCCAACUCUCCAGCUGCUUCGAUCAUACCUCUGCAUGAUCAAGUCCCUCCCAUGGGACUCACUGGUACUUGCAUUCGAACUUUUCCCUUGGUGGAACCCAGCCCCCAUAUGCUGAUGACCAAGGUUUUCAUCCGAUGCAAAACUCGAUGCACGCACGGAAGACCCGCCUCUACGGUACCAU
rnacentral:lncRNA from 1 species